rnacentral:rRNA from 1 species
AUUGAACGCUGGCGGCAGGCCUAACACAUGCAAGUCGAACGAGUGGCGGACGGGUGAGUAAUGUCUGGGAAACUGCCCGAUGGAGGGGGAUAACUACUGGAAACGGUAGCUAAUACCGCAUACCAUCGGAUGUGCCCAGAUGGGAUUAGCUAGUAGGUGGGGUAAAGGCUCACCUUGGCGACGAUCACUAGCUGGUCUGAGAGGAUGACCGGCCACACUGGAACGGAGACACGGUCCAGACUCCUCCGAGAGGCAGCAGUGGGGAAUAUUGCACAAUGUGCGCAAGCCUGAUGCAGCCAUGCCGCGUGUAUGAAUGAGGCCUUCGGGUUGUAAAGUACUUUCAGCGGGGAGGCGUUACCCGCAGAAGACGCACCGGCUAACUCCGUGCCAGCAGCCGCGGUAAUAC